UACGUAGGGGGCAAGCGUUAUCCGGAUUUACUGGGUGUAAAGGGAGCGUAGACGGCAUGGCAAGUCUGAAGUGAAAACCCAGGGCUCAACCCUGGGACUGCUUUGGAAACUGUCAAGCUAGAGUGCAGGAGAGGUAAGUGGAAUUCCUAGUGUAGCGGUGAAAUGCGUAGAUAUUAGGAGGAACACCAGUGGCGAAGGCGGCUUACUGGACUGUAACUGACGUUGAGGCUCGAAAGCGUGGGGAGCAAACAGG
rnacentral:rRNA from 1 species